ensembl:processed_transcript
AUCAAACUAGCUCACUAUGACUGCUAAUGAAAACACAGGAACACCUGAGAAACGGAAAGGUAGCAUGUGGGGGCAAGAGCACUUAUAUCCAGCCUUUUCAACCUUGGCUAUUUUUCUCCAGGUUCUGUUAGUGCCAUACUUGUUGGUUUACAGAGAUGGUGUGUCUGGCUGAGACCAAAGGAGCCAUGCCAGGAAAGUUAAAGCGUAUCUUCAUUUUUAAGUCCAGGCUAAAGUAAGGUCUGAGGAAAAGAAUGAGCUGCAUGAGAAAGAUAGGAACAGAUCAUCAAAUCUGAUUGUCCGGGCCAGUGUUGCAUCAUAACAGGCCACUUUAAAAUGAAGUGAAAUUGACAAUUGUGAAUUUAACCUUCCUUGAUUACUACAUUGUUAACUCUAGGAACUAGUAUCUGGUCCUUACUACAUUGUUAACUUGUAGACCUGUGUUUAUGUCUAGCAAUAAAUGCUCUUUAUGCUA